GCGUUAGGCGGAAUCACUGGGCUUAAAGCGUGUGUAGGCGGAGUGCUAAGUACCUUGUGAAAUCCCACGGCUUAACCGUGGAACUGCUGGGUAUACUGGUUCUCUUGAGCCACCUAGGGGCGAGCGGAACAAGUGGUGGAGCGGUGAAAUGCGUAGAUAUCACUUGGAACGCCAAUGGUGAAAACAGCUCGCUGGGGGUGUGCUGACGCUGAGACACGAAAGCCAG
rnacentral:rRNA from 1 species